rnacentral:rRNA from 1 species
GGCUCAGAUGAAACGCUGGCGGCAUGCCUUACACAUGCAAGUCGAACGGUAACGCGGGGCAACCUGGCGACGAGUGGCGAACGGGUGAGUAAUGUAUCGGAACGUGCCCAGUAGUGGGGGAUAGCCCGGCGAAAGCCGGAUUAAUACCGCAUGAGACCUACGGGUGAAAGCGGGGGAUCGCAAGACCUCGCGCUAUUGGAGCGGCCGAUAUCAGAUUAGGUAGUUGGUGGGGUAAAGGCCUACCAAGCCGACGAUCUGUAGCUGGUCUGAGAGGACGACCAGCCACACUGGGACUGAGACACGGCCCAGACUCCUACGGGAGGCAGCAGUGGGGAAUUUUGGACAAUGGGCGCAAGCCUGAUCCAGCCAUGCCGCGUGCGGGAAGAAGGCCUUCGGGUUGUAAACCGCUUUUGUCAGGGAAGAAAUCUUCUGGGCUAAUACCUCGGGAGGAUGACGGUACCUGAAGAAUAAGCACCGGCUAACUACGUGCCAGCAGCCGCGGUAAUACGUAGGGUGCAAGCGUUAAUCGGAAUUACUGGGCGUAAAGCGUGCGCAGGCGGUCUUGCAAGACAGGUGUGAAAUCCCCGGGCUUAACCUGGGAACUGCACUUGUGACUGCAAGGCUGGAGUACGACAGAGGGGGAUGGAAUUCCGCGUGUAGCAGUGAAAUGCGUAGAUAUGCGGAGGAACACCGAUGGCGAAGGCAAUCCCCUGGGCCUGUACUGACGCUCAUGCACGAAAGCGUGGGGAGCAAACAGGAUUAGAUACCCUGGUAGUCCACGCCCUAAACGAUGUCAACUGGUUGUUGGACGGCUUGCUGUUCAGUAACGAAGCUAACGCGUGAAGUUGACCGCCUGGGGAGUACGGCCGCAAGGUUGAAACUUA